rnacentral:rRNA from 1 species
AGUGAACGCUGGCGGCGUGCCUAAUACAUGCAAGUCGAACGGAGAUUAAGUAGCUUGCUAUUUAAUCUUAGUGGCGCACGGGUGAGUAAUAUAUAGCUAACUUGCCCAUUACUAAGGGACAACAGUUGGAAACGACUGCUAAUACCUUAUACUCCGUAUCUAUAUAAGUAGAUACGGGAAAGUUUUUCGGUAAUGGAUAGGGCUAUAUCGUAUCAGCUAGUUGGUAAGGUAAUGGCUUACCAAGGCUAUGACGCGUAACUGGUCUGAGAGGAUGAUCAGUCACACUGGAACUGAGACACGGUCCAGACUCCUACGGGAGGCAGCAGUAGGGAAUAUUGCUCAAUGGGGGAAACCCUGAAGCAGCAACGCCGCGUGGAGGAUGACACUUUUCGGAGCGUAAACCCCUUUUCUUGGGAAAGAAUUAUGACGGUACCCAAGGAAUAAGCACCGGCUAACUCCGUG